rnacentral:tRNA from 1 species
UGGCUCAGAUGGUAAAGCAUCUGCCUGCAAUGCAGGAGACCCGGGUUCCAUCCCUGG